rnacentral:rRNA from 1 species
UACGAAGGGGGCUAGCGUUGUUCGGAUUUACUGGGCGUAAAGCGCACGUAGGCGGAUUGUUAAGUCGGGGGUGAAAUCCCAGGGCUCAACCCUGGAACUGCCUUCGAUACUGGCAAUCUAGAGUCCGGAAGAGGUGAGUGGAACUCCUAGUGUAGAGGUGGAAUUCGUAGAUAUUAGGAAGAACACCAGUGGCGAAGGCGGCUCACUGGUCCGGUACUGACGCUGAUGCGCGAAAGCGUGGGUAGCAAACGGG